rnacentral:rRNA from 1 species
AGAGUUUGAUCAUGGCUCAGGAUGAACGCUGGCGGCGUGCCUAAUACAUGCAAGUCGAACGGAGUGCAGCGAUGCAUUCAGUGGCGAACGGGUGAGUAACGCGUUGGUAACCUGCCCUGGAGAGAGGGAUAACAGGCCGAAAGGCUUGCUAAUACCGCAUGAGCAGUGGAGGAAUAGCAGCUUCACUGCAAAGGGAGUAAUCCGCUCUGGGAGGGGCCUGCGACCCAUCAGCUAGUUGGUAAGGUAACGGCCUACCAAGGCGAUGACGGGUAGGGGACCUGAGAGGGUGGCCCCCCACAAUGGAACUGAAACACGGUCCAUACACCUACGGGUGGCAGCAGUAGGGAAUAUUGCAUAAUGGGCGAAAGCCUGAUGCAGCAACGCCGCGUGUGCGAUGAAGGCCUUCGGGUUGUAAAGCACUUUUGACCGGGAAGAGGAAGGACGGUACCGGUGGAAUAAGCCUCGGCUAACUACGUGCCAGCAGCCGCGGUAAAACGUAGGAGGCGAGCGUUAUCCGGAUUUACUGGGUGUAAAGCGCGUGCAGGCGGUCAGCUAAGUUGGGUGUGAAAGCUCCUGGCUCAACUAGGAGAGGUCGCUCAAGACUGGCGGACUGGAGAGCAGUAAGGGAAGGUGGAAUUCCGGGUGUAGUGGUGAAAUGCGUAGAUAUCCGGAGGAACACCAGUGGCGAAAGCGGCCUUCUGGACUGUAUCUGACGCUCAGACGCGAAAGCUAGGGGAGCAAACGGGAUUAGAGACCCCGGUAGUCCUAGCUGUAAACGAUGUGAACUUGGCGCUGGAUGGGUAAAACCGAUCAGUGCCGGAGCAAACGCGAUAAGUUCACCACCUGAGGACUACGGCCGCAAGGUUAAAACUCAAAGGAAUUGACGGGGGCCCGCACAAGCAGCGGAGCGUGUGGUUUAAUUCGAUGCUACACGAAGAACCUUACCAGGGUUUGACAUGUUUGUGGUAGCGAAGUGAAAGCGGAGCGACCCUUCGGGGAGCAAACACAGGUGCUGCAUGGCUGUCGUCAGCUCGUGUCGUGAGAUGUUCGGUUAAGUCCGCUAACGAGCGCAACCCUCUCUGCGUGUUACAAGUGUCACGCGGGACUGCCAGUCUUAAGCUGGAGGAAGGUGGGGAUGACGUCAAGUCAGCAUGGCCUUUAUAUCCUGGGCUACACACACGCUACAAUGGCCGGUACAAUGGGUCGCGAAGUCGCGAGGCGAAGCCAAUCCACAAAGCCGGUCUCAGUUCAGAUUGCAGGCUGCAACCCGCCUGCAUGAAGACGGAGUUGCUAGUAACCGCAGGUCAGCUAUACUGCGGUGAAUACGUUCCCGGGCCUUGUACACACCGCCCGUCACGUCAUGGGAGCUGGUAACACCUGAAGCCGGUAUUCUAACCGCAAGGAGGGAACCGUCGAGGGUGGGGCUGGUGACUGGGACGAAGUCGUAACAAGGUA